rnacentral:rRNA from 1 species
UACGUAGGGUGCGAGCGUUGUCCGGAAUUAUUGGGCGUAAAGGGCUCGUAGGCGGUUUGUCGCGUCGGGAGUGAAAACUCAGGGCUUAACCCUGAGCCUGCUUCCGAUACGGGCAGACUAGAGGUAUGCAGGGGAGAACGGAAUUCCUGGUGUAGCGGUGAAAUGCGCAGAUAUCGGGAGGAACACCGGUGGCGAAGGCGGUUCUCUGGGCCUUACCUGACGCUGAGGAGCGAAAGCGUGGGGAGCGAACAGG